rnacentral:lncRNA from 1 species
GGUAUCCUCCUUCUCCAAUUCUUGCCAAAAUGCUUUAUCGACACGAUUGACAUCAACGUCAAAACAUUGUUGGGAGAAACCACUUGGUGCAAACUCAAACCCUAAAAAGUGAAUGGUGAAUAAAAUGAAUUUUUUUUAUCUUUUAAAUAGUAAAACAAAUGGGUCUCUUAAAAGUAACAUGAUCAAGAUAGAAAACGAACAUUACCUUCUAAUGAGCUUCCAGAUACAUCUGAAUUCACAUAGGCGAUGGUGGAAAGAGAUCAUGUUGGACUAAAAUCAAUAGACACUAUCUUUUUCCACUGUUUCCUACAUAAAUUUAAAUACCUUUGGACACUCAUUAGAAGACAACACUUGCUUUUCUUUUCUUCACAUUCCUUUCAAGAGACUCGUGGUUUGCUAUUUAAAAAAACAAUUUUUUUCUCAUUUGAUUUACUAUUCACUUUCUAGUGUGAGUUUGUGCCAAGUGACUUUGACAACAAUGUUUAGACACCAAUGUUAGUUCACGUCGAUAAAGCUUUUCGACAAGAGUUGUAGAAGUAGGAAAUCAAGAGAGAGAUAAUUGAUUGUGCUAGAUAGCACGAUGACAAGAGUUGAAUGAAGAAAUGAGGAAAAUGGAGUUGGAGAGGACAUUGGGAAUCCCAAAGAAUUAGAAGACGAAAUACAAAAAACCUCAAAGAAAUUAAAUUAACAUAAAAUAAUUGUCAAUGACUAUGACUUAAUCCCAAAACAAAGAGAACUACUCACACAUAGUCAUGAACAAUCCUAAAGAAAACAUAAAAGAGAAAGAAGGAAUACCGAUCGAAGAAGAGAAAAGUUAAGAAAACUCCAAAACUCUCCUAAGUUGUCAAUACUCAAAGUCGGAGCCCUUUUAUAAAGUUUUUCUAAGCUAAAGACAUGACCUAAAAUUUGUUUAGGCCCAAAGACACUAAAAACAUACAAAAUAAGGAAAUAACUCAUAAGCUUAAUGACACGCUCGUGUGCAUGGAUGGCAUGCCCGUGCUAGAUGCGUCAACAGCCUAAUCAAGAAAUAAGGGGCUUGGCAUGCCCAUGCAAGAUUUGCAUAAGCCUAAUAGUGGAAUAGGGGACUUGACACGCUCGUGCCAGAUGAAGCCAACAACAAAUAGCUCUUUUUUCCUUUCAGAAAGAUCCCCGAUGGCUAAUAAAUACUAAUGAAUUAAACUUAAUUAUGCACACAAUGUAUGAAAAUUACAUAUAUAUAUAUAUAUAUAUAUGAGUAUACCUUAGAGAAGCAAAUUAAAUAUCAACUUAUACUAUAGAUAGAUGGUGCGAGAAACGAAAAAUCAUUUGAGAACACAAGGACGUGCGUUGCUUCCACAUGGAACAAAUAUCCCAAGGAACGAUGGUAGAUGAUGAGAGAGCAACAAUCAUCAGCUUUUAAUCACAUUGCACCCAAAACUUCAACCAGCCAACAAUAUGAACAUAUUCAAUGGCAGUCAUCACCGCACACAAUUCAUCAUAUAAAGCAGUUUUAAUUCCAAUAUAAGAAGAAAAACCCUUUACAAAGGCACCACUACUAUCUCAAUAAAAACCUCCACAAGUCGCAUGACUCGGGGAGCCAGGCACAGCACCAUCAAUGUUGUACUUAAUGAAGGCACAAACUGGAGGGAACCAAUCAACCCUUUUUAAUCUCAAAGGAUUUUGGAGGAUGAAAGGGAACCAAGAAAGUGAACUCAAUCAAUUCUUGAAUAAACAUUAAUUUUUGUAAAUAUUUAUAUAAUAUAUAGUAACAUAUGUUUUAUAAAUUAAGAAUAAUAAAAAAAUAUGUUAAAAAAUUAUAGCAUAUAAAUUUGUAGAUUAUAAACUUCCCCAGGGCAUGGGUUAUUAAACUAGUUUAUAUUAACAAUUGUAUUUGAAAAUCAUAUUUUUGGAACAUCAGAAGUCAAGGUGGAAUAUUACCUCACUAUCUUAAUGUUGAUGGAACACAUCUAUUUUCUUGACCUAGUAAUGUACAUCUCCCGCUUCUACAUGUCAAUAUUCAUUUUUGUGUACCAAAAUUUGCAGCACCAUUAGCAACCAAUCAUGGCUAUUGAGUGCAAGCCUAGAACUUCUAUUUG